UUUACAGUUUUAAAUAUAAAAGUCCCCCGGUGGGGAAGCGGUAAAUCUUCGGAUUUACAACGCUAUAAUCAGGGGUUCGAUUCUUCUCGGUGGACACAGCAGAUAGCUCGA